GUGCGUGUGGCCAGGAAUGCCAUAGAAGGAAGGAUUCAGCACAAUGCCACCUAGAUGCAUCAAGGCCUCCUUGUCCCAGGGCCAAGUUGCCACUCCAGCCAGCUCUUCCUCAGAGGAGUUGGCAAAGAAGAUGUUGAGGUGUGUGGAUCCAUCCAGUUUGAGUAUGUUCUUCAGUUCAUUGACAUCUAAGUAUGCUCUGUAUGGAGAAUAUGGGUCAAAGCACGUCUUGGUGACUUCUGUUAUCUCCGGGUUGCAGCACUCCCCACCAUCGAAGUUGUACCUCUCGUAAUUGCAAUCCAUGUCACACACUCCAUUCUGCUUCUUCUUGUUGAAAAGCGUGUGGCGUACAUGCCGGCAGUCUCCUCCAUCGUACCCGGUCAAGGUGUGGUUGCACUCGGGGUCACAGUUCUCAUCCCCGAUCUUGCUGAUAUCACAGUUGGCCAGGAUGAGCCGGUGCCGAAGGGACGAGUUCUUC
rnacentral:lncRNA from 1 species